UACGUAGGGGGCAAGCGUUGUCCGGAAUUACUGGGCGUAAAGGGUACGCAGGCGGCUUUGUAAGUCAGAUGUGAAAGACUAUGGCUUAACUGUGGUAAGCAUUUGAAACUACAGAGCUUGAGUACAGGAUGGGAGAGUGGAAUUCCUAGUGUAGCGGUGAAAUGCGUAGAUAUUAGGAGGAAUACCAGUGGCGAAGGCGACUCUCUGGACUGUAACUGACGCUGAGGUACGAAAGCAUGGGGAGCAAACAGG
rnacentral:rRNA from 1 species